AAGACUAUACUUUCAGGGAUCAUUUCUAUAGUAUGUUACUAAAGAAGUUUCUCUGAUUGUGUAGAGUACCAGAAACCAACCACGAGGAGGAGUUGAAUGUCCUCCCUGAGUAUGAAGCUGGCUCUAAGAGUUGCAUUACUGCAACUGCCUUUUGCCAUUGAUGAUCGUUCUUAAUUCUCUUAGAGAUUAAGAGGGAGAGAACACAUUCUGAGUGGCU
ensembl:snoRNA